GGACUACCGGGGUUUCUAAUCCCGUUCGCUCCCCUGGCUUUCGCACCUGAGCGUCAGGUGGCUCCCAGGACACUGCCUUCGCCUUUGGUAUUCCUCCGGAUAUCUACGCAUUUCACCACUACACCCGGAAUUCUGUGUCCCUCUAAGCCCCUCAAGUCGAACCGUUUUUCGACCACUCGCCUCGUUGCGCGAGGCGCUGUCAGCCGAAACGCGCUCGACCGCCUGCGUGCGCUUUACGCCCAGUAACUCCGGACAACGCUUGCCCCCUACGUAUUACCGCGGCUGCUGGCAC
rnacentral:rRNA from 1 species